CUUCACCUCCCUGUCUCUCCUGCCUUUGGGGGACUCUGGAGCUUUAGCCUAGUGACUUACAUGGUGCUUUUCCACUUUUUGACUGGAUCUCUGUAGAAUAAAGAUAUUGUUUGUCCUCUGUUAGAAAGCAGAAGGUGUUGGUGGGCAGUAAUGCACACCUCAAAGGAGUUGGCCCUGCAUGGCCCCAGGAGAUAAAUGCAGCUCCAUAGUUCUUUGCCAGGCCAGUAUCACCUGUCCUGACUGAUGUAGGUCACUGCUGCUGACACUGAGCUGAACUGUUCCCAGACCGUGCAUCCAGCCAUUACCCUGUGUAUCAGAAGCAGCAUCUCUACAACAGCAACCCAAGCUGGGAUUUUGGAGCCUUCCGAAGGCUGGACCACCUCAUCCAGGAGACUCACCUCAACAUCUCGUGGUUUGCCCAUGUUUUCCUGGAGUCUGGGACAUAUGUUUUCAGGGAUAGGACCAUUCAGGAGCACUUCCUGAUCGUGACUGUGAAUGAAGCAAAUAUGGGUUGUGACCCCCGAGAUGUUUCCUUCCAGCCCUCUUCUCUGUUCCAGCUGGCCAGACAUGGAAUUCUGAAGCAGCAGAACCUGAAUUUGGCUCCUAACUGGGCCACUAUCACAGGUACAGCCAAAACACUGUGAGAGAGGGAAGGACCAGUUGUGCUUCUCCCCACUCCCUGCUUGAAGAAUUCAAGUGAGGGCUUUGUUUCCCUUGGCUUGAAGGCAGAAAGUGCCAGUGUUUUAGUGCUAAACUCAGCUGAAAUGAAAGGCAUCAUUUAAAAGAUCACUCGGGGCUAAAUACGAGGACAGUUGAGGUCUUUCCUCAAAGCUGUGCACAUACCAGUCCUGUGUCCAUCAGUGAGAGGACAGGAAAGCAAUAGAAAUGAAAGUGUGGCUUGCAUCCUCUGUGCUGUCCCUCUUGGCUUUCCCAGCAGUUCUCUUUGUCCUGGGCUCCCUAAUUGUGGUGCUGGCAACCCUGGCUGUAGUGUUCCAGCCUGCUGUGCCCAUCAUCAGCCCCCUGAAGGCCUGGAAGCCACGAUGGAGGAGCCUGGGCGAGCCACACAUCCCACCGGAGUACAUCCUCCUUAAAGACAGCCUUCAGUUCUAUCAGACAGUCGGUCCUCGUGCUUCUGGAGAAGAUGCUGACUUUGAAGAGAAGGGAGCUGUGCAUAAUGCAGAAGAGCGGUUGACACGGAGGCUCCUGGAGGAUUUCAGUGUUCGCACCCUCUACGAUAAGCUGGAAGAUCAGAACUUGCAUCUGGCAUCUCAGCUGGCCAAGCACAGGAUGGACGUGCUGGUGUUCUACAGUGGAGUCAGCCAGCAGAUCCGGAGUCUCAUGGACAUGCUGCAAGCACUGGACACUGAAGACUUGAAAAGGGCUCGUGAGCACAGACCUGCAGAGAGCAGCAGGGCAGCAGCAUGUGCUGAACAGUGUGAUGGGCACUGUGGACACGACUUCCAAGCAGGUGAGAGAGCCAAAGUGCAGAGCAAGAGAGCAGCAGUGUCAGGGAGCAUCAGUGGUUGCACAGGACAUGAUGGGUACAGUGGAUGGCUCAUACACAUGAGAGGACAUCCCACAAGACUGUGUCUUCCAGUGGUGCUGUAG
rnacentral:lncRNA from 14 species